GGGCGUGUGGUCUAGUGGUAUGAUUCUCGCUUUGGGUGAUUGAGUGGUCCACCAUUCAUUUCAACAAACAUGCGAGAGGCCCUGGGUUCAAUUCCCAGCUCGCCCC
rfam:Candida tanzawaensis NRRL Y-17324 unplaced genomic scaffold CANTAscaffold_10, whole genome shotgun sequence.